CAUAGGGGGCUUCGGCGGAUGAGUAGACAUGCGGAAGGGUCGGUGCGUUGGCGUGCGCGGGAGUGGGUUGCUGUUCGUGGGUAGGUGUCGCUGCUGUAAGUUCGCAUCCCGGAACAGCCUUAACCUGUUACAGACAAAAUGUAUGACAACAAUUGAACCGCUCGCAUCUUCGCCGCCUCAUUAAAAAGCUUUGCGAUGCGGAAAAGUAGCGUCGUUCCCAGCUCGCUCGCACUCUCACCUCCUCGCCCCGGCGGUCGCAAAGCCCAUGUUGUAGAGGCGCCUGUGGGCUCGGAGCAUGCAGCAGUAACAGCGAAGGGCACGAACAAGGUCACGAGCGGCAUCACAAAAGCCGUUGCGGCCAGCUGGCCCCUUGCUUGCCUUCGGAACACUACAUGCUACGCGCUGUCGCUUAUGGCAAAAUCGGGGCUCUAGGCACGAUUCAGAAACACCCGCCGGCUGCCAAACAUGGAGUUGCAACGUGUGAACAACCCUAAACGCCUGUGCAUGCUUUGGAAGUGCCGACAUGAUGAAUGAGUGUGUUUAGUCAGCUAAUCGGCACUAUGGCAGUGCGAGGCGUGUGUGGCAAUGCAUGUCUGCUCGCCUUCGACAUAAUGACGCUCAUCGUGGAAGGCCCCGCCCCCGCCGCCACACCCUAUGCGGUUGUUCUCAAAGUUGACUACCACACAACAGUCUACUCAUUCACCGAACGGCAGGCAAGCACCAAUUAACUUGCAAAGUAAGAACCCGUUAUGCAGUUACGCCGAUUUAUACCCUUGCUGCCCGGCGUACUUCUUCUGUAUGUCGUGUUAAAUGCCAUACGGACAUACAUUUCUUCGGGUGCUGGACUUUCCCCUCUGUAACAUCCGCAUUCAUACGGACGGCUGACUUCCUGUUUGCAACCGUCCGGCGCCCUCACGACCGCCGAUACAACCGCCACAUGCCGGCCAGCCUGCCUGCCACUGUGCCCACCGCUAUGCCUCUUGAACUGCUCCGACAAACACAGGCACUCACGCAUGCGCACACGCGCGCACACGCACACACGCGCGCACACGCACACACACACGCUCUCUCUGCUCGCUCUGCUGCAUCGCGUACACUGUCUUUGCGCUAUGUUUUCCUUGUGUUUUUUAUUGAUUUCCAACACACCGCAUGCAACACCGUAUGCAAUAUCCUUACAUCGCCAGUGGCCUCACUUCAUUAUACGAAACACCACCCGCACGCAACAUGCUGUACGGCAGUACACAAGAUAGCCCGCACUCUUGGCGGCAUGAAUGUUUUUGCUUGACUGGCUCAAACUGCAUCACAAUGCCCAGUCGUACGGUAUGCGCUGGGUAUGCGUCAAGGCGUUAUCAUCUGUGCCUCUUGCGGUAGCAAGCAGGCGUUGGGACUUGCGCCCUCUAGUCGUGCGCCGUUGCCGGCGCGUGUCAUUCACCGGCAGCCACUGCCCGGGUACGAGUAAUGGGGCGGUUGACAGCGUGUGAACUUAGGAGUGAGCCCCCGGUGGCAGCCCCAGAGCAAAACAUGGCUUGGGCGACAUACUCUUCGUUAAUGUCCUGGUAGCUACCAACUCAGCAGCCCCGGCCCGCAUCGCAUUUGCAUGCUGGCGUGGAUAGCGAACCGUGCACAUUUAUGGCGAGCCCGCUGACUGCAGUGUCAGCUGCAUACCGGCAGUCCAAUGCAACUGCAACGUUGAAGACCGUACGCACCAGUACCAUUAUUCCUUCUAGAGCGCUGUCCUAGCUAGCCCCGGCCGCUGCCGCCAGCUCCGCACAAUCCAAGCUGUGCCCUUCCCGCCAGUGGCUCAGCUGGCACGCGCCGCAGCUGUACGUGAUGCGCACGCGCCGGCAGCGCGCACACGUCUUGCCGCGUCCGGGUGCGAUGAGCGCGCUGGGCCCAUCCAGGCUGCUACAUGCCGGGUUAGUUGCCUCACAGCGUGAAGGGCCCGCCGGUAGCUGAAGGGCGCCCCGGUGCUGCUGCUGCUGCUGCUGCUGCUGCUGUUGCUGCCCACCUGGCAGCCCCACGGCGCAGCCUCCACGGCGGUUCCAUCCCCCUCCUACUCGUCUGCGGCAACAGCGGCCGGCGCCCUGUUGGAGGCGUGUCCGCUGCCUAACGUCGUGUCCUUUGCACUGACCGACGCCUGCGCCUGCCCGUGCGGCUGCGGCUGCCGGUGCAGCUGUUGCUCCACCGCCGAGUCUGACGGCUGCUGCUGCUGCUGCUGUUGCUGGUGGUGCUGGUGGUGGUGGGGCUCCUCCAUCCCCUGCUCCGCCGCCUCCGCCUGCACCUGUUGCUGCAGCAAUGGCACAGCAGCGGCGGGGUUGCCGCCGCCUCCGGGCAUAGCGGCGGGCGCAGCCGCCACCCCAGGUCCCGCCGCGGGCAGCACUGCCGCCACCACAGCCACCCGGCCUGCUGCGGCCCCAACCCGCACUACGCCCGGAGCCACCACGGCUGCGGCCGGUGCCGCCACAGCUGCCGGCGGCACGCCUCCUGCAUCGUCCAUGUCCUCCCCCUCCCGCUCCGCCGCCGCCGCGUUCUCCAUCUCUGCCGCUGCUGCUGCGACCAUCUGCAUUUCAAUGCAGGCAAGAAGGCACAGGAUCAAGCAGAAGCAAAGGCGGUGAAAAUGCACGUGGACAGAUACAGCAGCAACACUGCUGGGUGUGGCCGGCUGGGCUGCACGUGCAUCGCAUGGUGGCCUUGACCCAGUUGCAGGGCGCUAGUACAAGGGCCUCAUAGAUAGCAAGAGCUGAGCUGCAGCAGUGUACGUGGGUGUGCGCACGCCGAGCAGCUUGCGGUUCGCAUGCAGUGCUCUGAAUGGACCCCGCCGCUCAAGGCGCCAACUAUCUACCCAGGCAUCCCGCCUCACAAGCAAAGCGCCCACCGGACCCCGCCGCCGACCUUGCCCCUAGCUACUGCCCUGACUGAUACGCGUGUGCGUUCUGUAUGUGCAUCUAACGAUGUCAAGAAGGCGGCAGCACCGCGAACCAACGCGCUGAUGAAUGGCUUCACAAGUGACCACACAUGCGGUACAUCCUGCUGCGUGCCCCCCGCUAGCACCAAUUCGCCCUGCUGCCAAGAUCCCCCAAACGCCACAUAUGAUGCCUUUGGUCAAUCAACCCCACCUCCUGGGAUCCUCCCUCCACCUCCUGCGCAGCCAGCGUCCUCAGUUCCUCUGCGUGCUUCCGCUUCAGCGCCUGUCUCCGCGCCGCUAGCUCUUCGUCCAGCUUCUGCAUCUCCAUGUUGUGCUGCUCUAUCAGCUUCCGGCGCUGGCGCGCCACCUUGUCCUCGCGGGGUCGCUCGUCGCGCUCCUACGCGGCGUCGCACAGGGGGCUUCGGCGGAUGAGUAGACAUGCGGAAGGGUCGCGUGCGCGGGAGUGGGUAGGUGUCGCUGCUGCAAGUUCGCAUCCCGCAACAGCCUUAACCUGUUACAAACAAAACUUGAUGACAAAAACAAUUGAACCGCUCGCAUCUUCGCCGCCUCAUUUUAAAGCUUGGCGACGCGGCGGAAAAAUAGCGUCGUCGCCAGCUCGCUCGCACUCUCACCUCCUCGUCCCGGCGGUCGCGAAGCCCAUGUUGUGGAGGCGCCUGUAGGCUCAGAGCAUGCAGCAAUAUUAGCGAAGGGCACGAACAAGGUCACGAGCGGCAUCACAAAAGCCGUUGCGGCCAGCUGGCCCCUUGCUUGCCUUCGGAACACUACUUGCUACCCGCUGUCGCUUAUGGCAAAAUCGGGGCUCUAGGCACGAGUCAGAAACACCCGCCGGCUGCCAAGCAUGGAGUUGCAACGUGUGAACAACCCUAAACGCCUGUGCAUGCUUUGGAAGUGCCGACAUGAUGAAUGAGUGUGUUUAGUAAGCUAAUCAGCACUAUGGCAGUGCGAGGCGUG
rnacentral:lncRNA from 1 species